rnacentral:rRNA from 1 species
GACGAACGCUGGCGGCGUGCUUAACACAUGCAAGUCGAACGGAAAGGCCCCUUUGGUGGUACUCGCGUGGCGAACGGGUGAGUAACACGUGCGUAACCUGCCCUUGACUUCGGGAUAACUUCAUGAAACUGGGGCUAAUACCGGAUAGGAAUCCUUGCUGCAUGGAGGGGGUUGGAAAGCUUCGGCGGGUUUGGAUGGACUGGCGGCCUAUCAGCUUGCUGGUGGGGUAGUGGGUUACCAAGGCGUUGUCGGGUAGCCGGCCUGAGAGGGCGAACGGCCACAUUGGGACUGAGGUACGGCCCAGACUCCUACGGGAGGCAACAGUGGGGAAUAUUGCACAAUGGGCGGAAGCCUGGUGCAGCAACGCCGCGUGCGGGAUGACGGGCUUCGGGUUGUAAACCGCUUUCAGCAGGGGCGAAGCUUGUGGUGACGGUACCUGCAGAAGAAGCACCGGCUAACUACGUG